rnacentral:rRNA from 1 species
GAUGAACGCUGGCGGCGUGCUUAACACAUGCAAGUCGAACGAUGAACCGGGUGCUUGCACUCGGGGAUUAGUGGCGAACGGGUGAGUAACACGUGAGCAACCUGCCCCUGACUCUGGGAUAAGCGCUGGAAACGGCGUCUAAUACUGGAUAUGUCCCGUCACCGCAUGGUGUGCGGGUGGAAAGAUUUUUCGGUUGGGGAUGGGCUCGCGGCCUAUCAGCUUGUUGGUGAGGUAAUGGCUCACCAAGGCGUCGACGGGUAGCCGGCUUGAGAGGGUGACCGGCCACACUGGGACUGAGACACGGCCCAGACUCCUACGGGAGGCAGCAGUGGGGAAUAUUGCACAAUGGGCGGAAGCCUGAUGCAGCAACGCCGCGUGAGGGAUGACGGCCUUCGGGUUGUAAACCUCUUUUAGCAGGGAAGAAGCGAAAGUGACGGUACCUGCAGAAAAAGCACCGGCUAACUACGUGCCAGCCGCCGCCGUAA